AUUGAACGCUGGCGGCGGGCCUAACACAUGCAAGUCGAACGCGUGGCGGACGGGUGAGUAAUGUCUGGGAAACUGCCUGAUGGAGGGGGAUAACUACGGGAACCGGUAGCUAAUACCGCAUACCUGCAGAUGUGCGCAGGUGGGAUUAGCUUGUUGGUGGGGGAACGGCUUACCAAGGCGACGAUCCCUAGCUGGUCUGAGAGGAUGACCAGCCACACUGGAACUGAGACACGGUCCAGACUCCUACGGGAGGCAGCAGUGGGGAAUAUUGCACAAUGGGCGAAAGCCUGAUGCAGCAAUGCCGCGUGUAUGAAGAAGGCCUUCGGGUUGUAAAGCACUUUCAGCGGGGAGGCGUUACCCGAAGAAGAAGCACCGGCUAACUCCGUGCCAGCAGCCGCGGUAAUAC
rnacentral:rRNA from 1 species